AAAAAGUUUCAGAAGAAUGAAGGAAAAGAAAACGAGAAAAAGUUGCAGGAAGAAGAUGUAGAGGUUGCUGAAAACAACGCCAACGCCAAUGCCAAUGCUACAGGGACUUCUGAAUCACACAUAGUU
rnacentral:sRNA from 1 species